UAAAAAUUAAUGUGACAUUUACAAAGUAUAUUCAUGCUUCAUUUUUCUUCCUCUUUAGUUCACUUUGUCCAGCUCAGACUGUCCCAAUUUUCUUCCUGUGCUGCCACACUAAAAUAUAUUAAUAUGUUGAAUUAUGUAGGUUUCCCCUGACAAAUCUCAACCAUUAGAGCUACAUCCACAUGCUCCACCAACCUACCUCGUAAGAAUUUCAAGAACUUUCAUCUAUUUUUAGUUUUAUAAAAAGCCUAUCCAGAUGAGAUGUCAUGGCACAUGUGUGUGUCUGUGUGUAUUUUGUGUGCACAAGUCAGCCAGAACCAUGUAACAGUGUGCAACCAGAGAGACAGAAGACAUGCAAAUGAACUUACACAGUAGUCCAAGUAACCCUAAAUGUCUUAGAUAUCCAGACACUGAAUUAUCCUCUCAAAAUAAUCUCACCGCUGAGCAAUGAGAUAAUGAGGGGAUCUGUCACCACACUAACAAUCAGUGACAGUUUUGGCAAAUGAACACUAAAGCAGAAUGUUGUGACACUACCACUACAGUGAUAAUGGAAGACACAGAGUGGAAAUAGGCACUGAUCAAGGAACUGUGGGUUGGAAUCCCUGUGACCUUAGAAUCUUUCUAGAGGGCAUUUGCAUUGGCAGUGGAGUGUUGCUGGUUCUUGUGAAACCUUCAGACCAUCUUUUCUAUUAUACUCCUCCACAAUGUUUGGCUUUUUAGUGGUAAUCUUUCAGCAAGCAAAUUGUCUUUCCAUGUUUGCAAGACACGGCUUUACUGGCGCUUUCUUUCUGGACAAACUCAAAACAUUUUAAAUAUUCUUUUGGGCCAUUUGCUCUCAACAUAGAUCUGGAUGAAAGCCCUCAACAGUAACCAUGCCACUACCUUAACAUUGAACUGCCGUGAAAUUUCUUCAACCAGGUUAAUUUAAUUUCAGCCUUUGACAAAGCCUUUGGAUAUGAGCAAAAUGCAAACUAAUUUUCUGCAAAUGUAACACACACACACACAAACAUACAUUUUACAUUUCCUAUUACUCUCCCACUAGCCAGUUUUGAAACUUUUUUUUCACUUUUAAUAAAAAAUACACAGCUGGUAUCUCUAGCCCUUUCCAAAUGAUCUUACAUGCCAUUUAUAAAGGCUUCUGAACCAUAUGGUCAGGUAGCAGCAGCACAGCAAUAACCCCACCACCAGCACCAAACUCUGUGUUAGCUACUUUCUCUUCACUGGGAGAAAUCACCUGACAUCUACAAGUUAAAGGAAUCCUUAAUCUAUUGGAGAUACAUACUUUUAAGUGUCCAAAUUAAUAGCAUUAUAUGUAUUUAAUUUAAAUACAUUUGGUUAUUGCUUACACUAGACGUUUCUUCAAACCCUCUAGUGCUUAUCGUCUAGAGACUUCUGAGGAGGUCACUGAAUCAUGGGUGUGUGAUAUUGAAUUAGUUCACUGAAUGGUUUAGCAUAGUUCUGUGUGGAUAAUUAGCAUAGUUCUGGGUGUGAAUGCUGGGCUUAGUGGAGAGAGAAGAUGCACCUGGGUUUGGGUGGCACCAACCGAGAGGCUUAUAGCCUGAAUGAAAUAAAAACUGAAAGGAGGAAGAAGUCUUGCUGCUUCUUACCUGCCAUUCCAUGCAGUGUAUGUCCGCUCUCAGGUUCCUCUGCCAUGACUUCUUGCUUUGGGGCCAGAUGACUGUGGACUCAAACUUCUACAAAAUGAGAAAGUUUUCCAGUAGAACAGGGGAGCACAAGACAGAGGAAACAAAAGCAUCUCGGACAGUGAGGACACACGCACAGAGCCCUGUGGAAGACAGACUUCAAGGAGCUGUUCCAGGGAAACUGAAGCAGCAGGCCUAAGGACAAGCCUGUCCCUCUAAGAAUUCUGCAAUGAAUCCAUCUGGGCAUAAGCUCUUCUUUGUAGGUCUGAAACACCCACUGAGAUGCUGGCCAGAACUGUGGAGCUUUUAAGGAAAGUGAACACGAAGACCAGAAGACGCAGGGGGAAGCAAGUGAGAAAAACAGUGCAUAACAUGGAACAUGGGCCCCACCUGCACGGACCACAGAACACAAGAGAUUCAGACACACCCGGGACAUGAUGAAGGCUCUGCUCUAAGUCACCUGGACCUCAUCCCAACACAGUGGCAGUGUCAGGGCUCAGUGUCUGACUGCACGACUGGGAGAUCUGGGUCCAGCAGACACCUGCAGAAGCAGCAGCAAGAUAUUAGCAACACAAGCGCCAGCACCACCUCAGACAACACCUCGCAUUGUACUGACCACUUACUGAAGGCUCUCAUUGUAGAGCUACAGAUUUCUACAGAGGCCCUCCUGGGGUGUUGUGGACUCUCAGAGGGUCUAUAAACUCACUGGUUUGAAACAGAAGUAAAAGCUUGAGCAGGCCUAGGCCUGUUGACUCUGGGAUUUCCACUCGGACUCCACGUGGAACUACUUGAUGUGUUUUUUGGUGCCCGGAUCCUGUUCCAGUGAGGCAAAUUCUGCAAGGGAGAAGGCCAGAGCCAGGUCAGCACAGAAGGUUCCCCUUUGAUUGGACAGGUCAUCUGUCCAUCUGUUGCUCAACACCAGGAUCUCAUAUAACAAACUGUUUUCCCUCCUUGUAUAGUCAGCACGUUCUCAAAGCAUAAAAAAGAGAGGGGUGUAUAAAAACACUCAGCAGGCAAUGGGUGACACAGCAAGGAAUUGUCUAAAAAAAAGGAAGAAAAGAAAAUUUUCACUCUUGACAACUGCAUACUAUUUCCACACAUCAUUCUGCAUUUGUUGAACACUUUAGGGUAUUAUUAACUUUAAGCCACCAUAUUUAAAAAAGGCACCUUGGGGGCUGUUGUGUGGCUCAGUUAUAGAUAUGCUUAGCUUAAGGCUCUGGGUUCUGCUUUGACAGUGGUGGGGAGAAAUGGGGAGGAAAUACUGUGGAGGGCAUAGCAGAAACUUUCUAAAAUUGGAAUUUGUAAGUUAGUUUACAGCCACAGCAGCAUCAACCAACUUCUUAUCCCAGCCCAGGCUGAUACCUAACCAGCACUGUGCUCAGUGUUAGAGAGGUGCUGGGUGGGAACAGGCAGGGUGUUCAGAGCUCCCUUCCUGAGCCCUCUGGCCACUUCACAUGUCCAGGUAGCUGCAUAAGCUACCCCACCAUCUCACUCAUCACCUUUCUCUUUCUCUGCCUCUCUCAAUUUUGAGUGCCAAGGGGCUCUGAGCUAACUCCUGCUCUUAACCCAAGCUCAGAAAUGUCCUCCUGACUCUGGAGAGCAUGCAAAACUGUAAAACCUAAACACUGGUUUUUAAAAAGUGGGUGAGAUGAAAAAAAAUGACAAUACAGAAAAUGUGGCAUCUUGUUUCACUGACAGUACCUGAUAUAAAAGAGUAUAUAGGCUUGCUGGCUCAGCACAGAUGAAAUAUCACUGGGCGAUACCAUGAAGUCAUUCAUCUGGUACCACAGGCCAUUGCUUGCCUGCAAAAGACAGCCAGCAAGAGAGAAAUGUUAGAUUUUUGUCAGGUGGACAAAGACACAGUGAGAAGGAGGAGGAAAAGAAGCAUUCACACAUGACUUGUAAACCUGCCAGCUUUCCCCCCAGAGAAUGCUAGUGCUUGCUGUCUUACAGAGUCUGUGUAAAAGCAAAAGCAAAAUCCACAUGGCUUACUUUUAUGUAAGAGAAGUAGUGGCCCACACAGCACUUAGAUCCGGUGUGGACCAGCACUGCAUACAAUGAGUAUUGCAUGGCUUCUCCACUGGGCUGAGACAUGUAAGCUCUAAUGUUUAGUUGUUCUGGGUAUUUCACAAUCUAAACAGAAAUGGACAAAGGAGAAAGAAUGUCCUUUCUAAAGGCACAGAAUGCCAUAGAUGUUCAGGCACAAGGUAUUUAUGGUGCCCCAGGAGACCCGCACUACACAGCACAGUGAUUUUCCAGCACAAACCCAGUGUGCUGAGUCACUUUUCAAAGGACAAGGUUAACCUGAAAGAUACCAGGUCUAAGGAUAUCUAAGGUUCUCUCGCAGUCUUUAUUUUCCUUAAACAAGUUAGGAUCCACAUAAAUUAAGUGAAUUCCCCAAAAACACCAUAGGUGAUAGUCACAAAAUGACAACUCUGGGCAUUCACCACCAAUUAUUUUAGUUUUAAUUAAUUAAAUAAGUAAGUAGCUUUUCUGACACAAGAUCUUAAAUCUGUAGCUCACACUGGCCUCAAGUCACUACAUAGCCUAGGCUGAUCUUGAACUUGCAAAAUUUUUCCUGCCUCGGCCUCCCUACUACUGGCAGGUGACUCUGUUCCAGACUCCUUCAAAUAAUUUAAGAAUACAGUAGUUGUUUCUCUGCUAUUUCAUUGCAAUUUCUGUUUGUUUUUUGAAAUGGGACUUCACUCUGUAAGCCAGGAUAGCUUUAAACUUGCUAUAUCAUUCAAUCUGGUCCCAAACUCCUAAUCUUCCUGCUUUAACUUCCUGAGUGCACCAUGGUCAGCCUUGUUUAUGAAUUUCUGACCACUUUCAAUCUUUAGUAAGAGGAAAGAAAAUAGGAAAAUUGAGUGUAAGUAAAAAAUCAGAAAAUAAGAAAAUAAACUUGGAUGAAAGAGAGGGAAGAUCUAGUGAGAAAGUCCUCUUUGGACUUUCAGAUUAUACAAACUCUACCUGUGUACUUUCAUUACCAUGGAUAUCAAAGUAUUGACUACAGAUCCAGAGUACAGAUAAGAGUUGCCAAUUUUCUCAGCAGGCUUGACCUCAAGAGUAUAGUAAAGAUGCAUAUAAUCUUAAGCACACAGACCAAACUCUUCACUCAAUUCUUUGAUUUUUUUCCCCUGCUAUUCAAUGCAAGAAAACUGUAGAAAGUAAAUCACCCAAAGUGUUCAGUUAGGUCAUUUGUAACCCUGAAAAGCUACUGGCAUUUAAAUCUUGGCUCCACAUAAACUGUUAAUAACAUUAUCUACAUACCUUGGCAAUUUUUCUACCGGUACAAUUGGAGAAGCGUUUGAGACAGUGUGAGAACAUUAGAUGGUCUGUGUAUAGAAAGGCUCUUUGAAGCUGGAACCAUACUGUUACACCUUGAAGUCAAGAGAAAAAAGGGAUUAAGAUGUCUAAUGUAUGGAUGGUUUUUUUUUGUUGUUUUUUUUUGUUUUUUUUUUGUUUUUUUUUUUUUUUUGGUGUUCUAGAAUUCUACUCAUUAUUUCUCUGAAAUACUCUAAUUUAAAGAUUCAACUGGAGUGGCCAAAUGAGGGACUGCCAGCCACACACCACCCCAUCAUACUUGCUACACUUGUAGCAGUUCUCUCCUUCUAGCUGUUCUGGCUCCACAAACUGAGCCAAUGCCUCGUUAACACUGCGAACAUCCUGGGAGGAAAAAGCAUCAAUGCCACAUCUUCCCACACUGCCGGUGGCUUGUGUGAGAGACAGAGAGAGCAAGCAAGGAAGCAGAAGACACAGAAAAUUAAAGCAGCAUUUUAAUGGGGAAAAUACUGUUUCUAUGGGCAUGGUGUGGCUGUGUUGUCAGCUACUUUGGAGAUUGAAGGCGGAGGAAUGUAAGAUUUGGUCCUGCUUGAUCAAUUCAGAUUCAACCUCAAAAUGAUUUUUAAAAUAGACUGGGAAACUGACUAAGGGCUAGCGGGCCUUGGGAUUAACUUCCAAGGCCACAAAAAAAAAAAAAAAAAAAACUUUUCCCAUUAGGAUGAUUACCCCCAUCCCAAUUAAGUUUUGCCAUUGCAGCUAUCAAAACACUUUUUAUUAAGACUUACUAAGUGAAAAUAAAGAUUUACAACUUGACCACAACAAAAAUUAUGAAAUUUAUCUGUAUCUCCAAUGUAACAUCAAGAUACGGAUCAAAAAUGUCUGAAACACAUGUGCAAUUUAAACAUUUGACUGAAAUAAAAAUAAAGUGAAAAAUAUAAAGUGUAAUGAAUAUGGCAGUCUCAGCUGUUUCCAUACAAACAGAAUUUAAAAAGUUUAAAAUUAAAGAUAAUUAAAACAGUAUAACUUUUCUUCUGCUAGAUUGGCAAACAAGAUAAUCUUACGCACACAUAUGAAAAAGCCUCAGAAUUUGGACCUUAGUGUACUACUGGAUGAAAUAUAAACUUGUAUGACCUCUUAGAAUGACAAAAUGCCAAUAUUAAAAUUUAAAAUAUAACUUAUGACUCAAAUUCUAAUAUUAAGAAUUUAUCACAUACCCUUUUAUUUAUACAUUGUAAUGGUUGAUACAUUGGCUCAACUUGCAAAGUUUAGGAGCUUAACUAAGCAGCUCAGCAGAUUUGCAUCCCACAAUGUAGAGAACAUGCCCUAGUGCAGUUGCUUACACCCUAAGGUGCUAUAAUUGUCAAUUCUUUGGAUCAACUUGGGAAGUUUAAAAGACUAACUAAUAAUUUAGCAGGAUCCAACAUCCUCACUUUGUAAACAUCCUCAGCCUGUGCAAGAAAAAAACACAGACAUAGUAUGAAGCUACCUACACUUGCCCUAAGGCAGGUAGUUUGCAUACAAUACAAAGAGAGAAAAGAAGCUUGCUCCCCCCAGUCUUUCUGCUCUUGCUUCUUUUGCCAUCUUCUGCCACCAUGAAUUGUUGCCUCCCUGCUGUGCCACUCAGCUUUGUUGCCAGCUGAUAAUGGACUGAAACAUCUACAAAUUAUGAGCUACAUAAAUCUCUUCUCCUUUAAUUUUAGAUCUCAGGUAUUUUGCUCAGCAAUGAGAAGACAGUAAGACAGACAUAAAGCAUGAGUGCUGUUCAGUAAUGCACUAGUGAUAACAGAAUAGAAAGCUAAGUAACCAUCCAAAGGAGAAUAAAAUAAAUGACCACUAUGGCAGGUAUGAAGGAAUCUGUUACUACUAAAGUUAAGACAAAAACAAAAUAUUCUAUACUUCCCUCUCAGUUCCUCAUGAAUAAGGAACUACCAGAAGAACAUAGUAGAAACUGACAUAGGGGCAGCCACUGAAGAGGAAGAAGGAGUCUAUUUUCCCUUAUUUCAAUUAUUGGCAUUCUAACACCACACGCAUGUGUCACUUCAUGGACUUGUGAACACAAUCUUACCUCUUGAUCUUAGAUAGCCUCCAAAUAUCUGAUAAAUGAGGGUGGUGGCCUGAGUGUGUCUAUCUAAUCUGAAAAAGGCAAAACAGUGAUUUAAGAAUUCUGCAAAAUUAUAGAUGCUAUGACUAGAUUUUAAAGGAUGCAUAUUUAUAAUACAACAAGCAUGCAGAAAAGAGAGCAAUUUAAAACUUAGUCUACAUGGUACCCAGAGAUCAGCCCCGCCUGGUGGAACACAGUAAGUAUCUGAAGAAGAGGAUGGAAGGAACUAAACAAUGAAGGGACUUUGAAAUCAAGACAGAAAUUAGAUUCAGAAGCAAAGCAGCAAGAGGCAGGCAGUCCCAGCAGCCUCGUCACCCGGUGUGGGAUGUGAAGCAGGGAGGGAAGCAGAGUCUGCCAUCAUCCAGACCACGCAGGCCUGGACAGUGAGUGGAAUGCACAGGGAGGUACCGGUACCAGGGUGUGGGCAGGGGCAGGGGGAGUUAGGAACGUUACAUAACUGUCUGGCCCAUCUCUCUCUUGAGUCUGCAUUUACAUUUCAGGAAGAAGCUAGAGGAACUGGUAACUAACAGAGAGGGAGAAACAGAGACAAGAGGCAGGAAACAUAUUUAUAAGGCUGUAGGUCAACAGAGAAAAUGUCUGGCUCAAUUAGAAAGAAGUACUUUUAGAUUGCCAAAGCAUGCUGGCACUUGGAAGUUAAGUAACAGCAAAAACAGUAUUCAUUUACUAACAUCUAGAAUUUAACAACUUCAAAUUGUGAUGGUAAGCACAUCUUUUUAAAUUUAAGACACUGUAAAUUAUGCAAAUCAAGUGGGGAACAGGCAAUGGAAAGCCAAAUAGUAAAAAGUGUCCAACAUAAAAGGCAAAAUACGUGUGAUAAGCCAGAGAUGUAACCCGAAGAAAUGACUUGCACUCACUCAUAGCUGCCCUGUAAGCACGCUUCCUGCAUAGCAUCAAGAGUGUACUCAUUACUUACAUUAGGGCAACUACUUUGAAGGCAAUAAGACUCACUAAGAUGCCCAUUCUGGUUUGACUAUUGUUUCCUUUGGAAGUCCUGUAAUGUUUACAAUGCUUAAGUUUUAUUGGUCUUGUUCUCUACUCUUUUGUUCAACUUUAUAAUAUCUGAUGAGAUAGAAAAUUCUUUUUAAGGAAACAAGAGACAUUGUUGAUAACCAUUGUUGAUAACCUUGUACUCUGUUUUACAUCAUGUGCUAUGUCUAUCCUUGGUUUUGACUGACAGCUUUGUUUUGCCAUAUUUGACUUUAUUCUCUCCCCCCCAAAAAAGUAAUAAGAACUAAGGAGUAGUAAAACCCAAAA